rnacentral:rRNA from 1 species
CACCUGCGCCACGAGUGGCAAUCAUGUUUAUUGGGCCUAAAGCGUUCGUAGCCGGAUGAGCAAGUCUUGGGUGAAAUCGUUGCGCUUAACAAAACGACGUGCUUGAGAUACUACUUUUCUAGAGACCGGGAGGAGUUAGGGGUAUUCUUGAGGGAGCGGUAAAAUCUGCCGUAGGUAAGCUUAAAAGCGGCCUGCUGCUUUUAUAGUGCUAUAAUCUCAAGAGGACCACCUGUGGCGAAGGCGCCUAACUAGAACGGGUCUGACGGUGAGGAACGAAAGCUAGGGGAGCAAACCGGAUUAGAUUCUGGGAUUUUUGCAUAAUGUUUAUUUUUUUUGUUUGUCAAUAAUAAACUACUAAAGGAAGUAAACAGAAAUUAUCAAAAAUAAUUAAAACCCAGUUAAAGACCCGAGUAGUCCUAGCCGUAAACGCUGUGAACUAGAUGUUGCAUAUUCUACGUGAAUAUGCAGUGUCGAAGCGAAGGUAUUAAGUUCACCGCCUGGGAAGUACGGUCGCAAGGCUGAAUCCUCAAAAAUUUGAACUUAUUUUUGAGACAGUUUACUUAAAGGAAUUGGCGGGAGAGCACCACAAGGGGUGCGGCGUGCGGUUUAAUCUAACUUCACGCAGAGAAUCUCACCAGCAGCGACGGCAGAAUGAAGGUCAGAUUAAAUGUCUUACCCAACGAGCCGAGAGAUAGUGCAUGGCCGUCGUCAGCUCGUGCCGUAUCUAUCACUCACAGAUCCUUUGUCGCGAGUACAGCGGUUUAGGUGUCCUCUUAAGUGAGGUAACGAGCGAGACCCAUACCCAUAAUUGCCAACAGGUUCUUUAGAAUGACUGGGCACAUUAUGGGGACUGCUCUGGAAACAGAGAGGAAGGUGUGGGCUACGGUAGGUCUGUAUGCUUCGAAUCUGCUGGGCUACACGCGCGCAACAAUGGCGAGGACAAUGGGAUGCCACACCGAAAGGUGAAGCUAAACCUCGAAACCUCGUCUUAGUUUAGAUUGAUGGUUGUAACUCACUGUCAUGACAACGGAAUCCCUAGUAAUCGGACUUCAUCAGGGUCCGGUGAAUAUGUCCCUGCUCU